CCUACGGGAGGCAGCAGUGGGGAAUAUUGGACAAUGGGGGCAACCCUGAUCCAGCAAUGCCGCGUGAGUGAUGAAGGCCUUCGGGUUGUAAAGCUCUUUCACCCACGACGAUGAUGACGGUAGUGGGAGAAGAAGCCCCGGCUAACUUCGUGCCAGCAGCCGCGGUAAUACGAAGGGGGCUAGCGUUGUUCGGAGUUACUGGGCGUAAAGGGCGCGUAGGCGGCCUGGUCAGUCUGGUGUGAAAGCCCGGGGCUCAACCCCGGAAUUGCACUGGAGACGGCCAAGCUUGAGUGUGGGAGAGGAUGGUGGAAUUCCCAGUGUAGGGGUGAAAUUCGUAGAUAUUGGGAAGAACACCGGUGGCGAAGGCGGCCAUCUGGACCAUUACUGACGCUGAGGCGCGAAAGCGUGGGGAGCAAACAGGAUUAGAUACCCUGGUAGUCCACGCCGUAAACGAUGAGUGCUAGACGUCGGGGCCCUUAGGGCUUCGGUGUCGCAGCUAACGCAUUAAGCACUCCGCCUGGGGAGUACGGCCGCAAGGUUAAAACUUAAAGAUAUAGACGNGNGAUGCGACGAGCACACGGAGGUAGAG
rnacentral:rRNA from 1 species